GUCAGGAUGAACGCUGGCGGCGUGCUUAACACAUGCAAGUCGAACGGAGAUAUUGAAAGCUUGCUUUAGAUAUCUUAGUGGCGGACGGGUGAGUAACGCGUGGGUAACCUACCCUGUACAGGGGGAUAGCAGUUGGAAACGACUGAUAAAACCGCAUAAAACGGCAGUACCGCAUGGUACAACCGUCAAAUAUUCAUAGGUACAGGAUGGGCCCGCGUCUGAUUAGCUAGUUGGUGGGGCAACGGCCUACCAAGGCGACGAUCAGUAGCCGGCCUGAGAGGGUGAACGGCCACAUUGGGACUGAGACACGGCCCAAACUCCUACGGGAGGCAGCAGUGGGGAAUAUUGGACAAUGGGGGAAACCCUGAUCCAGCGAACCGCCGCGUGAGUGAAGAAGUAUUUCGGUAUGUAAAGCUCUAUCAGCAGGGAAGAUGAUGACGGUACCUGACUAAGAAGCACCGGCUAAAUACGUGCCAGCAGCCGC
rnacentral:rRNA from 1 species